rnacentral:SRP_RNA from 1 species
GCCGGGUGUGGUGGUGCAUGCCUGUAAUCCUAGCUACUUGGGAGGCUGAGGCAGGAGAAUCACUUGAACCCAGGAGGUGGAGGUUGCAGUGAGCUGAGAUCACGCCACUGCACUCCAGCCUGGGCGACAGAGUGAGACUCCGUCUCAA